GAUGAACGCUGGCGGCGUGCUUAACACAUGCAAGUCGAACGGGAAUUAUUUUAUUGAAACUUCGGUCGAUUUAAUUUAAUUCUAGUGGCGGACGGGUGAGUAACGCGUGGGUAACCUGCCUUAUACAGGGGGAUAACAGUCAGAAAUGGCUGCUAAUACCGCAUAAGCGCACAGAGCUGCAUGGCUCAGUGUGAAAAACUCCGGUGGUAUAAGAUGGACCCGCGUUGGAUUAGCUGGUUGGUGGGGUAACGGCCCACCAAGGCGACGAUCCAUAGCCGGCCUGAGAGGGGGAACGGCCACAUUGGGACUGAGACACGGCCCAGACUCCUACGGGAGGCAGCAGUGGGGAAUAUUGCACAAUGGGGGAAACCCUGAUGCAGCGACGCCGCGUGAAGGAAGAAGUAUCUCGGUAUGUAAACUUCUAUCAGCAGGGAAGAUAGUGACGGUACCUGACUAAGAAGCCCCGGCUAACUACGUG
rnacentral:rRNA from 1 species